AACGUAGGUGGCAAGCGUUAUCCGGAUUUACUGGGCGUAAAGCGUGUGCAGGCGGGGGUACAAGUGGUGUAUGAAAUUUCCCAGCUUAACUGGGAAGGGUUAUGCCAGACUGUACUUCUGGAGUGCGAGAGAGGGGCGUGGAAUUCCGGGUGUAGUGGUGAAAUGCGUAGAUAUCCGGAGGAACACCGGUGGCGAAGGCGGCUUCCUGGACCGACACUGACGCUGAGGCGCGAAAGCUAGGGGAGCAAACGGG
rnacentral:rRNA from 1 species